rnacentral:tRNA from 1 species
GGGGUUGUGGCUCAGUGGUAGAGUACUUGCCUCACAUGUGAGAGGCACUGAGUUCCAUUCUCAGCACCA